rnacentral:rRNA from 1 species
GCCUUCAUGAAGCCGGAAUUGCUAGUAAUGGCAGGUCAGCAUACUGCCGUGAAUACGUUCCCGGGCCUUGUACACACCGCCCGUCACACCAUGAGAGUUGGGAAUACCCGAAGCCUGUGAGCUAACAUUAUGAGGCAGCAGUCGAAGGUAGAAUCAAUGAUUGGGGUGAAGUCGUAACAAGGUAGC